GAUGAACGCUGGCGGCGUGCCUAAUACAUGCAAGUCGAACGCAUAGCGAAAGGUGCUUGCACCUUUCAAGGGAGUGGCCAACGGGUGAGUAACACGUGGACAACCUGCCUCAAGGCUGGGGAUAACAUUUGGAAACAGAUGCUAAUACCGAAUAAAACCUAGUGUCGCAUGACACAAAGUUAAAAGGCGCUUCGGCGUCACCUAGAGAUGGAUCCGCGGUGCAUUAGUUAGUUGGUGGGGUAAAGGCCUACCACGACAAUGAUGCGUAGCCGAGUUGAGAGACUGAUAGCCCACAUUGGGAGUGAGACACGGCCCAAGCUCCUACGGGAGGCUGCAGUAGGGAAUCUUCCGCAAUGGGCGAAAGCCUGAUGGAGCAACGCCGCGUGUGUGAUGAAAGCGCUCGGGUCGUAAAGCACUGUUGUAUGGGAAGAACAGCUAGAAUAGGAAAUGAUUUUAGUUUGACGGUACCAGAUCAGAAAGGGACGGCUAAAUACGUG
rnacentral:rRNA from 1 species